rnacentral:rRNA from 1 species
UGCUUAACACAUGCAAGUCGAACGAGAAAGGGAUUGCUUGCAAUCCUGAGUAGAGUGGCGGACGGGUGAGUAACACGUAAGAAUUUGCCUUUAGGAGGGGGACAACAACUGGAAACGGUUGCUAAUACCCCAUAUGCUUUCGAGUGAAAUGGAUUUAUAUUUAUCCGCCUAGAGAGAAGCUCGCGGCUGAUUAGCUUGUUGGUAAGGUAAGAGCUUACCAAGGCGACGAUCAGUAUCUGGUUUGAGAGGACGAUCAGACACACUGGAACUGAGACACGGUCCAGACUCCUACGGGAGGCAGCAGUGGGGAAUUUUCCGCAAUGGGCGAAAGCCUGACGGAGCAAUACCGCGUGAGGGAAGACUGCCUAUGGGUUGUAAACCUCUUUUUUCAGGGAGGAAUAAAAUGACGUGUACCUGAAGAAUAAGCAUCGGCUAACUCC